CGACAAAGACGACGAAAAGUGUAUUUGUAUAAAAUUGGUUGACGGAGGAAGUAAGACAGAACUGAUGAAAAGCAAAAGUGGUCUAGGAAAUAUAAAAAAAAAUGAAUGCAACAAUAUAAGAUUCGAAAUGAAGCAUGCAGAAGCGAAGAGUGACAUAACAAAAAUGCGCUCAUGUAAUUCUUCGCCAAUAAACAUAAAGCUAAGCAAUAAUGAUACUCAAUUUUUGAAUUUGCGAAGCAAAAUUUAUGAAAAUAAAAGUUUAGAAAUAAAUUUUAUUAACGAUACAGGUAAAAAGGUAGAAGUAAGUUCAAAUUUUGCUCACGUGUAUAUAAAGGAUUUAAAAAAGAAAAAGAAUGCGACAUCCUCAUCUAAUUUUGUAGAAGAUAUACUUAACAACUUAAACAAAUAUAGUAAUAAUAUUGUUGUUGAUAGUAGUAGUAGUAGUAGUAGUAGUAGUAGUAUUAGUAGUAAUGAUAUGACGGAGUUAUAUAACAAAUGUAUUGUUUGUUCUUCAAUGAAUACUAAUUUAAUUAAAUUUUUAAAUAAAACAGGAAAUUAUUUUAAUUGUUUUUUUACCGAUGAAAUAAAACAUUUUAUUAGUAACAAAAAUGAGUUAAAGAAAUUAAAAUUUCAUUUUUGUCCUUUUUUUGAAGGUAACUAUUUUUGUUUUUUACUUUUUUGUGUUAAAGAUAUAAAAAAUAAUUAUUUAAUAUCUACAAGUAAAGUAAAUUGUUUAUUUUAUAUUAAUAAUAUAAAAGAAGAUGAAUUGAUAAAACUGAGUUCCAAAAAUUUUAGCUUCACUUGUGAUAUACAAUUAUGUCCUAUAAAUAAAGCAUUUAUAAAAAGUAUAUAUUUUAUUUUAUGUAACUUGAACAAAUUGGAUAUAAACUUUUUUUUAAUAUAUUUGAAAAGGUACUUAGAAUUUAUAAACGAAAAUAAAAAUAAUUUUUGUAUGAUAUGUGAUAGCAACAGUAUAAAUGUGAAAGAUCAGAACAUGGUAUCAUUUAGGCGUUUAGAUUUUGAUAAGCAUAUCAAGGGUGUGUUACUUAGUUCUACUUCUACUUCUACUGCUGCUGCUACUGCCACUGCUACAGACACGUGUAUAGUAGACGUUGACACGUUCUACGAUGUUGUAAAAAAAGAAAUAAAUUACAUGUACAAAUUAAAUAUAGAAGAAUAUAUGAACGGUUUGUAUGAGUACAAUUGUAUACUUACCACCACAUGCACAUCAAAAAAUAUAAACCAAUCGAACAAUCACGAACAUACGAAAGGUGAAACUAUGUUGAGUUAUCAAAAAAUGAAAACUGGAGAUAAUACAACAAAAAACAGAAGUGGCAGUGACAGUGGCAGUGACAGUGGCAGUGGUAGUGGCAGUGGUAGUGGCAGUGGUAGUGGCAGUGGUAGUAGCAGUAACAGUAACAGUAGCAUAAUACAUAAUACAUAUCCCAAAUUAUACAAAAUAAUUGCAAAUGUAAACAACGAAGAAUAUAAUGUAAUAGCAACAAUUACGUUUAACACUAGUGCCGAUUUAAUAACAAAACAAAGUGUUCCUAUUUAUAAUUAUACAAAUAAAAGCUUGACAUAUCAAUGUGUUCAUACAUAUAUAAUAGAUAAAUAUAACAACAAAAUAAAUUAUGAUAUUUUUACUUAUGAUAAAUGUAUAAACAUAAAUAAAGAUGUUGAAAUGUACAAUUUUCAAAUAAUAUGUUAUUCUUUAGUCGAAGUAGUUUUAGGGACAUGCUUUUUGAUUUUAAAAAAUGUAGAUAAUAAAAAUGACGAGUUGAGAAUUAAAAUCAUAGCAAAUAUUUUAAAACCAUAUCCCAAAAAAGUAAUUAAUAUAGAAUUAUUAAACAAGACAAGAAAAGCGAUUGAAAUUCAAAUUCAUAAUGAAUUAGAAUAUGCUUGUGAAUUUAAAAUAUAUUCUGAUUUGUAUAUAUUAUACGGUGAAAAUAAAAUUGAAAUGCAACCUAAACAAAAAAAAACAUAUACAUUAUUUGUUAGUAGUGUACAUAUAGGUGAAUUUAUGGGUUGUGUUAUAUUCAAAUUUCAUAAUUUU
rnacentral:lncRNA from 1 species